rnacentral:snRNA from 1 species
GUGCUCACUUCGGCAGCACAUAUACUAAAAUUGGAACAAUACAGAGAAGUUUAGCAUGGUCCCUGCACAAGGAUGACACGCAAAUUCAUGAAGUGUUCCAUGUUUAU